CCUACGGGGUGCAGCAGUGGGGAAUAUUGGACAAUGGGCGAAAGCCUGAUCCAGCCAUGCCGCGUGUGUGAAGAAGGCCUUCGGGUUGUAAAGCACUUUCAGUGGGGAAGAAAGCCUUGGGGCUAAUACCCUCGAGGAAGGACAUCACCCACAGAAGAAGCACCGGCUAACUCCGUGCCAGCAGCCGCGGUAAUACGGAGGGUGCGAGCGUUAAUCGGAAUUACUGGGCGUAAAGCGCGCGUAGGCGGUCUGAUAAGCCGGUUGUGAAAGCCCCGGGCUCAACCUGGGAACGGCAUCCGGAACUGUCAGGGGAGAGUGCAGGAGAGGAAGGUAGAAUUCCCGGUGUAGCGGUGAAAUGCGUAGAGAUCGGGAGGAAUACCAGUGGCGAAGGCGGCCUUCUGGACUGACACUGACGCUGAGGUGCGAAAGCGUGGGUAGCAAACAGGAUUAGAUACCCUAGUAGU
rnacentral:rRNA from 1 species